rnacentral:lncRNA from 1 species
UCUUUAGCAACCAUUUAUGAUUAUGAUGUCGAAUGGCACAAGGUGUCGAUUUAGAUUACCGAGUUAUUUGAAACGUGUUUCAUUUGUUCUUUACAAAGUGUUAGAUACAAUUUCACUGCACAUAAGAAUUUUCUAGCUCAGUUAAAACGUAUUUUCAAGCAUACAAACCACAACUAAACAACGCGAAUGUAAAUAUAUACGACUGAGUCAUACAUCCUAAAAAAGGCAAGCAACGGACUGGUAAUAGGUAGGCCUGUUUUAGAGACUGUGGUAAACUACAGUUCAUUAUUACAUGCGAAAUGUUUUUGCUUCGGAGCAGAACACUGAUCUAUCUCUGUCUUCAUAUCUUUUUCUUCUCAGAGCUGGAGUGUGAUGCCUUGCUCCUAUUCAUGGCUAUUGACCUACAAUUUUUGAACAAUCUAAAUUAGUUAUUCAUUCAAUGGGAAAUCAGAAGUGGGGAUUACUUUACCAAGAUCAUUAGCAAGUUUAUGAGGGAAAAGAAAGCGAUAUAACUUCCAAAAGCAAACGUAAGAAUGAAGUACAUAGUAUUAUACUCCCUCCGUUCCAAAAUAGAUGACUCAAAUUUGUACUAACUUUAGUACAAAGUUAGUACAAAGUUGGGUCAUCUAUUUUGGAACGGAGGAGUAGCUGGGAAAGUAGGAACAUGAGAUGCGGCGUGUUUUAGAAAAAAAUGGUCGAGUCCCUGAUCCUAGUAACAUGAGCUGAGAUUAUUUUGUCAGGGACUCAUGGUCAUGGCUGUAUAUAAUUUUCACAAGCAACAAACCUAUGUGACAACCUACCUUCGAUCACAAAGCUAUAUAAUCUAUAUAAUAGACAAAAAUGGAGCAUUCGAUAACUUAAAUACCUAUUUUUCCUACCAUAGUGUGAUGAGGCUCUGAAACUGCACAUACAGGGAUUUUCAUGGGACCAUUCAGGACUUUGAAAAAAGAUACAAAAACUGCAUUCAGCUCUUCCAUCUAAGGCUACCUCAAUAAUAAACCAAUACUAAAUGAUAGAAUAAUCUGAAAAUCGUAUAUGAUAACAAUGCAAAAUAAUCUUGCAGCACCUCCUAAAACUGUAAAAGCUGUGAAAUUGGCAGUCAACUUACUAUCAACGAGAAACACCACACUAUGAUAACAAUGCAAAAUAAUCUUGCAGCACCUCCUAAAACUAUAAAAGCUGUGAAAUUGGCAGUCAACUUACUAUCAACGGGAAACACCACACUGCACUAUAUUUUUCCAGGAACAAGAUGCUAAUAUGCUUUCCCGUUCCCCACUGCAAGGAUGCACGUCGUCUCCCCAUUCUCCACCGCGAGGACGCCGACGCGUCCCUGUUCUCCACCGCCAGCACGCCCAACUCCUCCCCUAUCUCCACCACAAGGACGUUGGGCGCCUCUUCGUUUGCCACCCUGAGCACCGCAUUGAGGUCGUCUAGCAAUGUACUAUCAAGGCAACUGCUUUUCAUUGUCCCCCUCUAUUAAUUUUUCGCCGCACACACCCCUUGUUAUUCUACACCUAGGACGGCUGUUCUUGUAGAUUUUGCCGACCACCAUGUUCUGCAGUAAAUAGUAUGGCUGCAGUCCAAUGUGUUGAUUUUCAGCAGGCCAAUGUGUUGAUUGACUAAUUUUGUGCAUCAAAAACAGUAGGGCAGUGUUGAUGAAUCAAUUUUGUUUAGUAAAAAACGGAGUCUGUGACAAUACUAUAAAAGCGCUAGUCUCCAAAGUCCACCAUGCCGCAAAAACAUUUAGCACCCAUUUAAAUAUGGAUUUGGGUUCAUAUAUACACAAAGCGCAGUAAUUGUUGUGAAGCAAGAAAAAUAAUGCUCCUACUAUCAGAAAUAUGUGCCGACAACAACACCAUCCUAUUAGAGCUCGAAAACAGGAACAGAGAAGGCACCUAUACCUGUUCAUGGAGCUGUGUCUGAACCUCCAUUUGCAUAUGUAGAGCUUCUGCCAAGUUCCUAAGAAAAGGAGAAGGGGACAGAUGUAAAUUUGUAAGGUCAUGGUAUUUACCAUGCAUACAUUCUAGUGUACUAAUUCAGAGAUAUUACUUGUUUUUGAACGGAGCACUUCCACUGCUACCUAGUCGUACCUUCUUAAUAUCUGAGGAGGCCUUCUUUGAUGCGUAUUCAGUAUAAAAAAGGACUGCUCAUGAGUAGAAAGAUCAUUGUCGCAAUUUGGAAUGACAUGUUCUAGUAGGAAUCCUAGAUAUACAAAGAGAGGAUUAGUUCGGCAGAAUCAAUACGAUUAUUAGUAAAAAAUACAGAGUCCGUAACAAUACUAUAAAAGCUUAGUCUCCAAAGUCCACCAUGCCGCAAAAACAUUUAGCACCCAUUUAAAUAUGGAUUUGGGUUCAUAUAUACACAAAGCGCAGUAAUUAUUGUGAAGCAAGAAAAAGAAUGCCCCUACUAUCAGAAAUAUGUGCCGACAACAACACCAUCCUAUUAGAGCUCAAAAACAGGAACAGAGAAGGCACCUAUACCUAUUUAUGGAGCUGUGUCUGAACCUCCAUUUGCAUAUGUAGAGCUUCUGCCAAGUUCCUAAGAAAGGAGAAGGGGACAGAUGUAAAUUUGUAAGGUCAUGGUAUUUACCAUGCAUACAUUCUAGUGUAAUAAUUUAGAGAUAUUACUUGUUUUUGAACGGAGCACUUCCACUGCUACCUAGACGUACCUUCUUAUUGUCCAAGGAGGCCUUCUUCUCUGCAUACAGUAUGCAUCAAAAUUCAGUAUAAAAAAGGACUGCUCAUGAGUAGAAAGGUCAUUGUCGCAAUUUGGAAUGACAUGUUCUAGUAGGAAUCCUAGAUAUACAAAGAGAGGAUUAGUUCGGCACAAUCAAUACAAUUAUUAGUAAAAAAACAGAGUCCAUAACAAUACUAUAAAAGCACUAGUCUCCAAAGUCAACCAUGCCGCAAAAAUAUUUAGCACCCAUUUAAAUAUGGAUUUGGGUUCAUAUAUACACAAAGCGCAGUAAUUAUUGUGAAGCAAGAAAAAUAAUGCUCCUACUAUCAGAAAUAUGUGCCGACAACAACACCAUCCUAUUAGAGCUCGAAAACAGGAACAAAGAAGGCACCUAUACCUGUUCAUGGAGCUGUGUCUGAACCUGCAUUUGCAUAUGUAGAGCUUCUGCCAAGUUCCUAAGAAAAGGAGAAGGGGACAGAUGUAAAUUUGUAAGGUCAUGGUAUUUACCAUGCAUACAUUCUAUUGUAAUAAUUCAGAGAUAUUACAUGUUUUUGAACGGAGCACUUCCACUGCUACCUAGUCAUACCUUCUUAAUGUCUGAGGAGGCCUUCUUGUCUGCAUACAGUAUGCAUCAAAAUACUGUAUAAAAAAGGACUGCUCAUGAGUAGAAAGAUCAUUGUCGCAAUUUGGAAUGACAUGUUCUAGUAGGAAUCCUAGAUAUACAAAGAGGGGAUUAGUUCGCCAGAAUCAAUACGAUUAUUAGUAAAAAUACAGAGUUAAAAACAAUACUAUAAAAGCGCUAGUCUCCAAAGUCCACCAUGCCGCAAAAACAUUUAGCACCCAUUUAAAUAUGGAUUUGGGUUCAUAUAUACACAAAGCGCAGUAAUUAUUGUGAAGCAAGAAAAAGAAUGCUCCUACUAUCAGAAAUAUAUGUCGACAAGGCGACAACAACACCAUCCUAUUAGAGCUCGAAAACAUGAACAGAGAAGGCACCUAUAGCUGUUCAUGGAGCUGUGUCUGAACCUCCAUUUGCAUAUGUAGAGCUUCUGCCAAGUUCCUGAGAAAAGGAGAAGGGGACAGAUGUGAAUUUGCAAGGUCAUGGUAUUGACCAAGCAUACAUUCUAGUGUAAUAAUUCAGAGAUAUUACUUGUUUUUGAACGGAGCACUUCCACUGUUACCUAGUUGUACCUUCUUAAUGUCCGAGGAGGCUUUGUUUUCUGUAUAGAGUAUGCAUCAAAAUUCAGUAUAAAAAAGGACUACUCAUGAGUAGAAAGAUCAUUGUCGCAAUUUGGAAUGACAUGUUCUAGUAGGAAUCCUAGAUAUACAAAGAGAGUAUUAGUUCAGCAGAAUCAAUAUGAUUAUGCAACAAACUAUCAACCAUUGCACUAUAUCUCAAGAAUUUAUAGUGUAGCCUCCAAACAAAGCGGCAAUCAAGGCAACAUCAAUCUAACAACAAUGGCUGACCGAUGAUGUUUUAGUCCUUCUGGUUUACUAAUUCAGAGGAACUGUAACAAAAAUCGCUCUUUGGUCAAUAGCAUCAACUGAUUCUUUGAAAUCUAAAUUCCAAUCUUAGCUAAAAUUAUUCUUCCUCUCUUCUAUGUCAGAUCUGCACACGUCAAGUUUAAAAAUCCAUAUAAUAGCAAAGUAAAAUACGUGUGAGAAAGAAAUUAAGAGAGGGAGAGAAAGAGUGGAGCACCUAGUUCACCGCCGGCUUGCAUCGCUCGAGCCGCCGGCAACAGGCACAUGUUGUCCUCCUUAUACUCCAGAUCCACGAGGCAGUCAUGGGAGGAGGGAUGAGCUCCUGGUUCCUCUCGCCUUCCCACACCACCUGUUCACCUCGAGCUCCUUCCCCAUGCUAGGAUCGCUCACCUUCUCCUUCCCCGCUGUUGCUUGCCUUCCUCCCCGGCCUCCUCCUUCCCUUGUCGUCCGCAUCCUACACCUCCCCUACAUCCCCACCUGCACCGCAAAGAUGACCUAUGUCCAAUCUGGAUCGACGGUGAGAUGGAAGAGGAUAGGAGGAGGCGAGCAGAGGAGAAGGCUGGCGGUGGGAUCGACGACGACAUGGUAGCGGAGAGGAGGAGGCGAGUGGAGAGACGAGGUCGGCCGGCGGCUGCUGGCGAGGAGAGGAUCGUGGGAAUCGAGGGAGGGGUGCGGCGGCUCGUGGGGAUCGAUGGGAAAGAGAAAGAGGGCUAGGGUUCGUUUGGCGGCUGGGGUGGGAGUGGGGCGAGACGCGGGUGAUUGGGUGCGGGCGCGCCGAGCUGAUUGGGAAAAACCACCUGCACCUGCAAACGGGCAACCCAGCCAACCAACGUGCGAUGCGAGCCCACCAAUCAUUGGACGACGAAAACGACUGCGGGGUGAAAACUGAGUUUAACUGCUGUGAAGAUCAAUGGUCCAGAUGCACGAAAAAAGCAGAUCCGACGACCAACGAACAACCAAUCGGGGAAGCCUCCUGGAGGCGAGUUGCCUCGUACCUUCUUAUUGUCCAAGGAGGCCUUCUUGU